rnacentral:rRNA from 1 species
UGGGGAAUUUUGGACAAUGGGCGAAAGCCUGAUCCAGCAAUGCCGCGUGUGUGAAGAAGGCCUUCGGGUUGUAAAGCACUUUUGUCCGGAAAGAAAUCCUUGGCUCUAAUACAGUCGGGGGAUGACGGUACCGGAAGAAUAAGCACCGGCUAACUACGUGCCAGCAGCCGCGGUAAUACGUAGGGUGCAAGCGUUAAUCGGAAUUACUGGGCGUAAAGCGUGCGCAGGCGGUUUGCUAAGACCGAUGUGAAAUCCCCGGGCUCAACCUGGGAACUGCAUUGGUGACUGGCAGGCUAGAGUAUGGCAGAGGGGGGUAGAAUUCCACGUGUAGCAGUGAAAUGCGUAGAGAUGUGGAGGAAUACCGAUGGCGAAGGCAGCCCCCUGGGCCAAUACUGACGCUCAUGCACGAAAGCGUGGGGAGCAAACAGGAUUAGAUACCCUGGUAGUCCACGCCCUAAA